rnacentral:rRNA from 1 species
CCUACGGGAGGCAGCAGUAGGGAAUCUUACACAAUGGACGAAAGUCUGAUGGAGCAACGCCGCGUGUGUGAUGAAGGGUUUCGGCUCGUAAAACACUGUUGUAAGAGAAGAAUGACAUUGAGAGUAACUGUUCAGUGUGUGACGGUAUCUUACCAGAAAGGAACGGCUAAAUACGUGCCAGCAGCCGCGGUAAUACGUAUGUUCCAAGCGUUAUCCGGAUUUAUUGGGCGUAAAGCCAGCGCAGACGGUUUGUUAAGUCCAAAGGGAAUACCCACAGCUUAACUGUGGAAGUGCUUUGGAAACUGGAUAACUUGAGUGGAGUAGAGGAUAUUGGAACUCCAUGUGUAGCGGUGAAAUGCGUAGAUAUAUGGAAGAACACCAGGUGCGAAGGCGGCUCUCUGGGCUGUAACUGACGUUGAGGCUCGAAAGUGUGGGUAGCAAACAGGAUUAGAUACCCUAGUAGUC